UACGAAGGGGGCUAGCGUUGCUCGGAAUCACUGGGCGUAAAGCGCACGUAGGCGGCUUUUUAAGUCAGGGGUGAAAUCCUGGAGCUCAACUCCAGAACUGCCUUUGAUACUGGAGAAGCUUGAGUCCGGGAGAGGUGAGUGGAACUGCGAGUGUAGAGGUGAAAUUCGUAGAUAUUCGCAAGAACACCAGUGGCGAAGGCGGCUCACUGGCCCGGUACUGACGCUGAGGUGCGAAAGCGUGG
rnacentral:rRNA from 1 species